ensembl:lncRNA
CAGUGUGUUAGUGUGUGUUAGUGUGUAUAAGGGUUUAUGUGCAGUAUGUUAGUGUGUGUUAGUGUGUAUAAGGGUUUAUGUGCAGUGUGUUAGUGUGUAGAAGGGUUUAUGUGCAGUGUGUAAGUGUGGUUAGUUGUGUAUAAGGGUUUAUGUGCAGUGUGUUAGUGUGUAAUUACAGAAUGAGGUGUAAAUGUGCAUCAGUUUAAUAAAUUAAUAGAGGCAGUGUGUUUGCUGAACACUCAUCAGUGUGUGUCAUCAUAAGCACAGGACAGGCAGCUGGGUAAACUCUGUGUGUGUGUGUGUGUGUGUGUGUGUGUGUACUGACUGAGUAUCAGGUUACAGUGGUUUGUGGAUUUGAUCAGAGGAGGCGUUUUAUCAUAGUUAAUAGUUCCUCACAGACCGAGGAGGGAAAUAAAUAAGUGAGGGAGUGAAUGAGUGAAUUAGGGAGUGAGGGAGAAGGAGGGCGUGAAGGAGUUAAUUAGGGAGUGAAUGAGGAGUUAAUUAGGGAGUGAAUGAGGGCAUGAAGGAGUGAAUUAGGGAGUGAGAGAGUGAAUGAGGGAGUGAAUGAGGGCAUGAGGA